CCCACGUGCCAAUGAGGAUCGUGUUCUGGCUCACUGUUGGCGUCCUUGGAGAAGUCAGUGCUCUGAGCAGGCUGCUGGGCUGCUCCUUCCCUGGUGUCUGAGUUCUGAACCUCAAAGUGGCUGUGGAAAACCUUCCUGAGAAGCGAUGGCAUGAAGAGGAGGAGCUGCACAAGCACUCUCAGGUUGGGUUGCUGAUGCUAUCUGGCUGUUGAUAAUUGCUAGCGGAAACGGUUGGGCUGUCGUAAGCAAACUGCUGGUGUUCUGAGCUGUUAGAUGCAUCUCUGCUCUUGCUCUGAUGACUUUGAGUGAGGAGGGCAAUUAAGCCACAGGU
rnacentral:lncRNA from 1 species